GGACAUUGUUUUGCUUGCUUUUGGUUGAUCUUUUAUUUGCCCAAAUAACAUUUUGGAGAUAUUAGCAUCUUUGUUGGUGGGCCACCUCUUUAGUGGUACGAAGAAGACAAUUUGAUUGGUCAUUAUUCGUGCUUUCUUAUGGGGCUUAUAGAGUGAGCCGAACAAACAACUUUUUCAUGAUUCACUUUCCUCUUUUCUUCGUUUUAUGGAGAAUGUUUUAUCUACUGCUUUUUCUUGCUGUAAAACACAGCCCCU
rnacentral:misc_RNA from 1 species